UACGUAGGGCGCAAGCGUUGUCCGGAAUUAUUGGGCGUAAAGAGCUCGUAGGCGGUUUGUCGCGUCUGCCGUGAAAGUCCGGGGCUCAACUCCGGAUCUGCGGUGGGUACGGGCAGACUAGAGUGAUGUAGGGGAGACUGGAAUUCCUGGUGUAGCGGUGAAAUGCGCAGAUAUCAGGAGGAACACCGAUGGCGAAGGCAGGUCUCUGGGCAGUAACUGACGCUGAGGAGCGAAAGCAUGGGGAGCGAACAGG
rnacentral:rRNA from 1 species